UACGUAGGGAGCGAGCGUUGUCCGGAUUCCUUGGGCGUAAAGAGCUCGUAGGCGGCUUGGCAAGUCGGGUGUGAAAACUCCAGGCUCAACCUGGAGACGCCACCCGAUACUGCCAUGGCUAGAGUCCGGUAGGGGACCACGGAAUUCCUGGUGUAGCGGUGAAAUGCGCAGAUAUCAGGAGGAACACCGGUGGCGAAGGCGGUGGUCUGGGCCGGAACUGACGCUGAGGAGCGAAAGCGUGGGGAGCGAACAGG
rnacentral:rRNA from 1 species